UACGUAGGGUGCAAGCAUUAUCCGGAGUGACUGGGCGUAAAGAGUUGCGUAGGUGGUUUAUUAAGUAGGUAGUGAAAGCUGACGGCUCAACCGUACAGACUAUUAUCUAAACUGGUAAACUCGAGAAUGGUAGAGGUAACUGGAAUUUCUUGUGUAGGAGUGAAAUCCGUAGAUAUAAGAAGGAACACCAAUGGCGUAGGCAGGUUACUGGACUUUGACCGACUCUGAAAGACGAAAGCGUGGGGAGCAA
rnacentral:rRNA from 1 species